GGCGCGCCUAACACAUGCAAGUCGAACGAGAGAGAGGGAGCUUGCUUCCUCAAUCGAGUGGCGAACGGGUGAGUAACGCGCGAGGAACCUGCCUCAAAGAGGGGGACAACAGUUGGAAACGACUGCUAAUACCGCAUAAGCCCACGACCCGGCAUCGGGAAGAGGGAAAAGGAGCAAUCCGCUUUGAGAUGGCCUCGCGUCCGAUUAGCUAGUUGGUGAGGUAACGGCCCACCAAGGCGACGAUCGGUAGCCGGACUGAGAGGUUGAACGGCCACAUUGGGACUGAGACACGGCCCAGACUCCUACGGGAGGCAGCAGUGGGGAAUAUUGCACAAUGGGGGAAACCCUGAUGCAGCGACGCCGCGUGGAGGAAGAAGGUCUUCGGAUUGUAAACUCCUGUUGUUGAGGAAGAUAAUGACGGUACUCAACAAGGAAGUGACGGCUAACUACGUGCCAGCAGCCGCGGUAAAACGUAGGUCACAAGCGUUGUCCGGAAUUACUGGGUGUAAAGGGAGCGCAGGCGGGCGAUCAAGUUGGAAGUGAAAUCCAUGGGCUCAACCCAUGAACUGCUUUCAAAACUGGUCGUCUUGAGUAGUGCAGAGGUAGGCGGAAUUCCCGGUGUAGCGGUGGAAUGCGUAGAUAUCGGGAGGAACACCAGUGGCGAAGGCGGCCUACUGGGCACCAACUGACGCUGAGGCUCGAAAGUGUGGGUAGCAAACAGGAUUAGAUACCCUGGUAGUCCACACCGUAAACGAUGAUUACUAGGUGUUGGGAGAUUGACCCUCUCAGUGCCGCAGUUAACACAAUAAGUAAUCCACCUGGGGAGUACGACCGCAAGGUUGAAACUCAAAGGAAUUGACG
rnacentral:rRNA from 1 species